rnacentral:rRNA from 1 species
GACAGAGGGGGCAAGCGUUGCUCGGAAUCACUGGGCGUAAAGGGUGCGUAGGCGGGUCUUUAAGUCAGGGGUGAAAUCCUGGAGCUCAACUCCAGAACUGCCUUUGAUACUGAAGAUCUUGAGUUCGGGAGAGGUGAGUGGAACUGCGAGUGUAGAGGUGAAAUUCGUAGAUAUUCGCAAGAACACCAGUGGCGAAGGCGGCUCACUGGCCCGGUACUGACGCUGAGGUGCGAAAGCGUGGGGAGCAAACAGG